AAGUGUUUUGCUUAUGCGGAAUUUAUAAAUGUAAAAUAUCAUUAAUGUUUCUUAUUCUGUAUUUUUGUCUUUUACCCCAUUUAGAUGAAACUCUCACAGCACCAGUUGUGUUCAAAAUGUCUCAGUGUAGUUCUUCUACUGAUUCCUUAAUUAUUGGAUGUCUGGCCUCUGAGUUUUCACCUGACUCAGUAAACUUCAGAUGGAGUAGUAAUGGAAAUGAAAUGAAAAACGUCACCCAGCAUUCUACAGCAAACAAUCUAAAAUUCAGCUACAUCACCAUUACCAAAAAGCAACGAUACCAAAGUGACAUAAUGUGCACAGCAGAUCAUCCAUCAAAAACAGUCAACGAAACAUUUAGUACAGCUCCAACCCUGAGUUUGGUUCUUGUACCGACUGAGAAAAAUACAUUUGCCAUGUGUGUUAUUGAGGAUUUCUACACUGAAAACAUCACUGUACGGUGGAAAGAAAAUAACAUAUACAAACAGAGCCAGACAAAUCUGGAGUACAAACUGAACAUGAAUGGUCUUCACACAGCACUCAGUCUUUAUAAAUUAAACGAGAUUGUGAUUCCAAACACUGAGUAUACCUGUGAGGUCUCACACAGAGGAAAAACAUUUCAUAAAACACAGAACUUUACAGCUAAAUUCAGACUGAUGCUGAAGCCACCAAUGGUGAGAGAAAUGUUCAUCAAUAACAGAAUUGUCUUGCAAGCUGUUGUUUCUGGAGAUUUGUCGACUGCAGUGAAAGAAGCUUCAGUGUCAUGCAAAAUGGACAAUGUGCCUAUAAAUAGUGUGAGCCAGGAAAAUGAGUCACAACACGUAAAAAUUUAUAAUGUUCCAGUUGAUACAACGAAAUGGUUUAAUGGUGGAAAAGUCACCUGUACCACCCGGGACACGCUUAAUAACAAAGACAUUAAGCAGGAGAUCUAUUUUAAUAAAGGAGAUGGACAGGAACCCAGUGUUAAAAUGUACAAACCUGAUGAUAUCAGCACAAAGCAAAUCUCUUAUGUGUGUGAAGUCUCCAGCCCUAACCUUGGUGAUGUCUAUAUCAUGUGGAAAGUGAACAAUACGUUCACAGAGGGCAAAUCCAGUGAUCCCAUCCAACAACAGGGCUCCACAUCUGUUGUCAGCAUUCUGACAAUCUCAAAAAAAGAGUUUGAGAACCCCGAAACCACCAUCAACUGUGCUGUUGUACAUGCCAACAUGAAGGAUACAGCAUCUCCAUUACUAAAAUCAACCAGCAAAAAGGAGCCUCCUGAGCCAGAGACAGGUUUUGCUCUUCACUGCAAUGAAGAUGUUCUGGAGGAGGACGAGUUUAGAAGUCUCUGGUCCACUGCUACAUCAUUCAUCUUCCUCUUCCUCUUCUCUCUGACCUACAGCGCUGUGCUCAGCCUCUUCACGAUGAAGCAGUGACGAUUUGUUGAAAGAGUUUGUGAAAACUUCAACGCUUGUAAUUUCUUUUGUAACUUUUUAAAUAUUUUGAAAUUGCAAAAGAAAAAUAUUUCUAUAAUCUCUCUUGCUCUGUAAGUGUCUUUUAAAAUAAAUGCAUGCUUACUGUUUUAACUGAUGUUGAAGCUUCAUAAUGCCGCCCCUCCCCCUGAAUAUAUAAAUUUAUAUGUAUAUAUUGCUCACAGUCAUCAAUAAAGUCUUAUUUUAUCUCUCAA